UCACACUUUCCUCAGGAUCAGCGGACGUCGCUGCUUGUAGCAAUUAAAAAUAAUUUGUUUGGCUUGUUUUAUGUCAAAAAUCAUGAAAAUACAUCAUAAUAUAAGUAAUGCUGUUAUCAAAAGUUUGAAUAAAUUUAAAAAGAGAAAUUAUUGAAAAAUUGACGCCAACCCAGACCUUCAAUAAAAAGUCCGGAACUGGUUUAUUGACUGCCAAGACAGAUUGGAGUGACUCUUGAAACUAAAAAGCAAAAAUCGAAAAAUAUAUCAGCAAAUUCAGCCAAAUGUAAACUUAUUUCCCUCGCCCGAGUGGCUUUGAUUGAAAGGCAAAUAAGCUGCCGGAUUCAAUGAAAACAGAGACUACUCACAAUCCACGGAGGGGAUUGAAGAUAUAGACGGUUAUACGUAUACGUAUAUGAUGGAAAUCCAUUUGACGACGGGCGCUGACAGCGGCAAAAACAACAAGCAAUACAACAUUGGCGGGGAGCAUAAAUCAUUUGCACAGACAGAAAUGCAAAUCUUUGCAGAUUAAAACAAAAACAAGGCGGCUGUAUAAAUAAACAUCGUGCGAGUCAGACACAAAAACCUAAACCUGUCAAAUCUGCGAUAUCGUGGAGAUAAACUCCCCAGCCGGACGGGCGAUGGACUGGUCAGUAGAAGCCCCUGGAACCCACGGCCACCCCCUUCUAUGUGAAUAUUUGUUUUAAUUAAAUGCCAAUCGCCGUUCGUAAUUGCGGCACAUUAGGCCCACAAAAAAGCCAUGAAAAACUCUCAACAAAUCACAUAAAAUAUUUUUAAAAAUAUCUCCAACAUUUUAUCUUUUCAAGUUGAAAUCGAAGCGGACAUUAAUUGACCGGCAGAGAUUAGCCAGGCUGAUAUUCGAGAGGGACAGAUACCAUCGGCCAUAUAGAGAUCGUGGGGAGAAUGGCCAAUCGCCAAAACUGACAAGUCUUAGAAGGUCAAAAAGAUUGUACAAGAGCUCUGUGUUUGCUGAAGAUGAAAUUGAGAAGAAAGCUACAAUCAAAUAAUACAAAUAUAAAUACAAAUA